AUUGAACGCUGGCGGCAGGCCUAACACAUGCAAGUCGAGCGAGCGGCGGACGGGUGAGUAAUGUAUGGGAAACUGCCUGAUAGAGGGGGAUAACUACUGGAAACGGUAGCUAAUACCGCAUACCAUCGGAUGUGCCCAGAUGGGAUUAGCUAGUAGGUGGGGUAACGGCUCACCUAGGCGACGAUCCCUAGCUGGUCUGAGAGGAUGAUCAGCCACACUGGAACGGAGACACGGUCCAGACUCCUACGGGAGGCAGCAGUGGGGAAUAUUGCACAAUGGGCGCAAGCCUGAUGCAGCCAUGCCGCGUGUGUGAAGAAGGCCUUAGGGUUGUAAAGCACUUUCAGUGGGGAGGCGUUACCGGCAGAAGAAGCACCGGCUAACUCCGUGCCAGCAGCCGCGGUAAUUC
rnacentral:rRNA from 1 species